rnacentral:RNase_P_RNA from 1 species
GGUGGUAAGGGUGAAACGGUGCGGUAAGAGCGCACCAGCGUUCCGGGUGACCGGGACGGCUUGGUAAACCCCACCCGAAGCAAGGCCAAGAAGGCCGCAUUCCGGUGCGGCUGCGCAGGUGUUUGAGGGCUGCUCGCCCGAAUCUGCGGGUAGGCCGCUUGAGGUACCCGGCAACGGUGUGCCCAGAUGGAUGGUCGCCGCCGCACCGCGUCAGUGGUGCGGGACAGAAUCCGGCUUACAGGCCAACUCGUCCG